AUGCAAGUCGUACGCACUGGCCCAACUGAUUGAUGGUGCUUGCACCUGAUUGACGAUGGAUCACCAGUGAGUGGCGGACGGGUGAGUAACACGUAGGUAACCUGCCCCGGAGCGGGGGAUAACAUUUGGAAACAGAUGCUAAUACCGCAUAACAACAAAAGCCACAUGGCUUUUGUUUGAAAGAUGGCUUUGGCUAUCACUCUGGGAUGGACCUGCGGUGCAUUAGCUAGUUGGUAAGGUAACGGCUUACCAAGGCGAUGAUGCAUAGCCGAGUUGAGAGACUGAUCGGCCACAAUGGAACUGAGACACGGUCCAUACUCCUACGGGAGGCAGCAGUAGGGAAUCUUCCACAAUGGGCGCAAGCCUGAUGGAGCAACACCGCGUGAGUGAAGAAGGGUUUCGGCUCGUAAAGCUCUGUUGUUGGAGAAGAACGUGCGUGAGAGUAACUGUUCAUGCAGUGACGGUAUCCAACCAGAAAGUCACGGCUAACUACGUGCCAGCAGCCGCGGUAAUACGUAGGUGGCAAGCGUUAUCCGGAUUUAUUGGGCGUAAAGCGAGCGCAGGCGGUUGCUUAGGUCUGAUGUGAAAGCCUUCGGCUUAACCGAAGAAGUGCAUCGGAAACCGGGCGACUUGAGUGCAGAAGAGGACAGUGGAACUCCAUGUGUAGCGGUGGAAUGCGUAGAUAUAUGGAAGAACACCAGUGGCGAAGGCGGCUGUCUGGUCUGCAACUGACGCUGAGGCUCGAAAGCAUGGGUAGCGAACAGGAUUAGAUACCCUGGUAGUCCAUGCCGUAAACGAUGAGUGCUAGGUGUUGGAGGGUUUCCGCCCUUCAGUGCCGGAGCUAACGCAUUAAGCACUCCGCCUGGGGAGUACGACCGCAAGGUUGAAACUCAAAGGAAUUGACGGGGGCCCGCACAAGCGGUGGAGCAUGUGGUUUAAUUCGAAGCUACGCGAAGAACCUUACCAGGUCUUGACAUCUUGCGCUAACCUUAGAGAUAAGGCGUUCCCUUCGGGGACGCAAUGACAGGUGGUGCAUGGUCGUCGUCAGCUCGUGUCGUGAGAUGUUGGGUUAAGUCCCGCAACGAGCGCAACCCUUGUUACUAGUUGCCAGCAUUAAGUUGGGCACUCUAGUGAGACUGCCGGUGACAAACCGGAGGAAGGUGGGGACGACGUCAGAUCAUCAUGCCCCUUAUGACCUGGGCUACACACGUGCUACAAUGGACGGUACAACGAGUCGCAAGCUCGCGAGAGUAAGCUAAUCUCUUAAAGCCGUUCUCAGUUCGGACUGUAGGCUGCAACUCGCCUACACGAAGUCGGAAUCGCUAGUAAUCGCGGAUCAGCAUGCCGCGGUGAAUACGUUCCCGGGCCUUGUACACACCGCCCGUCACACCAUGGGAGUUUGUAACGCCCAAAGUCGGUGGCCUAACCUUUAUGGAGGGAGCCGCCUAAGGC
rnacentral:rRNA from 1 species